CACUACACAUCACGUUGACAUAACACUCUUAACCAGCACAUUAUAACUAGCGAACAAUCAAUAAAUUACAGUGUGUUUGUGCUAGGAUUUCUUUACAUUAAAAAGACGUCGAGGAAAUUCAUCACGGGGUAAACGUAAUUGUAAACAGGAAAUCAAUGCCUUUGAAGAGAGUACAGUUACUUAUUUUCCUACUUCUUCUAUGCGGACUGCAUAUCCAAGCACAGGCUUUUAGAAGAUGUACCAAGGGGACUUGUACUAUCGAUGCAUGUUGCACUGGAUAUUAUUGCAGACACGUUGGCAUUCCUCGUCCCAGAUGUUAUGUACGCACCUGACUGCUGUUUAUGUCUAAAGUUAAAGACGCAAAUGUUAUUUACUGGAUAAUCUAAUAAUGCAUUUAUAACAUUUGUAAAACAAACAA